UGGGGAAUAUUGCACAAUGGGCGCAAGCCUGAUGCAGCGACGCCGCGUGGGGGAUGACGGCCUUCGGGUUGUAAACCUCUUUCACCAUUGACGCGGUAGGUGGAGAAGAAGCACCGGCCAACUACGUGCCAGCAGCCGCGGUAAUACGUAGGGUGCGAGCGUUGUCCGGAAUUACUGGGCGUAAAGAGCUCGUAGGUGGUUUGUCGCGUUGUUCGUGAAAUCUCACGGCUUAACUGUGAGCGUGCGGGCGAUACGGGCAGACUAGAGUACUGCAGGGGAGACUGGAAUUCCUGGUGUAGCGGUGGAAUGCGCAGAUAUCAGGAGGAACACCGGUGGCGAAGGCGGGUCUCUGGGCAGUAACUGACGCUGAGGAGCGAAAGCGUGGGGAGCGAACAGGAUUAGAUACCCUAGUAGU
rnacentral:rRNA from 1 species